GCGUAACGCGUGAGCGACAUGCCCGUUGCCCGGGGACAACCGGUGGAAACGCCGACUAAUCCCCGAUGGGAUAUUGUGCCGCAUGGCACGAUAUUGAAAGUUACGGCGGCGACGGAUUGGCUCGCGUCCGAUUAGCUUGUUGGCGGGGUAACGGCCCACCAAGGCUACGAUCGGUAGGGGUUCUGAGAGGAAGGCCCCCCACAAUGGGACUGAGACACGGCCCAUACUCCUACGGGAGGCAGCAGUGAGGAAUAUUGGUCAAUGGGCGGAAGCCUGAACCAGCCAUGCCGCGUGCGGGAAGGAGGCCCUAUGGGCUGUGAACCGCUUUUGCCUGGGGGCAAUAAGGGCGUCGCGCACGCCCGAUGAGAGU
rnacentral:rRNA from 1 species